rnacentral:rRNA from 1 species
AGUGAACGCUGGCGGUAGGCCUAACACAUGCCAGUCGAACGGCAGCACAGUAAGAGCUUGCUCUUACGGGUGGCGAGUGGCGGACGGGUGAGGGAUACAUCGGAAUCUACUUUUUCGUGGGUGAUAACGUAGGGAAACUUACGCUAUUACCGCAUACGACCUACGGGUGAAAUCAUGGGACCUUCGGACCUUGCGCGAUUGAAUGUCCCUAUGUCGGAUUAGCUAGUUGGCGGGGUAAAGGCCCACCAAGGCGACGAUCCGUAGCUGGUCUGAGAGGAUGAUCAGCCACACUGGAACUGAGACACGGUCCAGACUCCUACGGGAGGCAGCAGUGGGGAAUAUUGGACAAUGGGCGCAAGCCUGAUCCAGCCAUACCGCGUGGGUGAAGAAGGCCUUCGGAUUGUAAAGCCCUUUUGUUGGGAAAGAAAAGCAGCAGGUUAAUACCCCGCUGUUCUGACGGUACCCAAAGAAUAAGCACCGGCUAACUUCGUG